GGGGAUGACGUGCUUUGACAUGUUUGGCAAUGCGGUAUGCGAAUCGAGGAAUCCUGUACCCCUCGUAAAACACUCGGGAAUUCAAUAUAUGCCAAUUUCGGCGUAAAUUCCUUUGCUCCGGCGUUUGCUGUUGCAUAAAGGCGUCCUGUUUUUGAAUGCUCAGUACAAAAAUAUGGGCGUAACUCAACUGAGCUGCGCGAGCGUUCCUGCUUGAAGAACGCUAGCUAAGCAAUACUCAAGCGCAUGAAAGAAACGUUUUCUUGGUUUCGCGCCUUUCUAUGAAAUAAAAUCAAGAUGCAUUCGGAGAAAUAUCGCAUCUAACCGAGCAUGGACGUGGGUUCAACUCCCACCAUCUCCACCG
rnacentral:tmRNA from 5 species